GGCGACGAUCAGUAGCUGGUCUGAGAGGACGACCAGCCACACUGGGAGUGAGACACGGCCCAGACUCCUACGGGAGGCAGCAGUGGGGAAUUUUGGACAAUGGGCGAAAGCCUGAUCCAGCAAUGCCGCGUGUGUGAAGAAGGCCUUCGGGUUGUAAAGCACUUUUGUCCGGAAAGAAAUCCUUGGCUUUAAUACAGUCGGGGGAUGAGGGUACCGGAAGAAUAAGCACCGGCUAAUUACGUGCCAGCAGCCGCGGUAAUACGUAGGGUGCGAGCGUUAAUCGGAAUUACUGGGCGUAAAGCGUGCGCAGGCGGUUUUUUAAGUCUGAUGUGAAAUCCCCGGGCUCAACCUGGGAACUGCAUUGGUGACUGCCAGGCUAGAGUAUGUCAGAGGGGGGUAGAAUUCCACGUGUAGCAGUGA
rnacentral:rRNA from 2 species